rnacentral:rRNA from 1 species
AUACGGAGGAUGCGAGCGUUAUCCGGAUUUAUUGGGUUUAAAGGGUGCGUAGGCGGGUUUCCAAGUCAGGGGUGAAAUCCCGGAGCCUAACUCCGGAACUGCCUUUGAUACUGGGAGUCUUGAAUGCGGAUGCCGUGGGAGGAAUGAGUAGUGUAGCGGUGAAAUGCAUAGAUAUUACUCAGAACACCGAUUGCGAAGGCAUCUCACGAAUCCGCGAUUGACGCUGAGGCACGAAAGCGUGGGGAUCAAACAGGAUUAGAUACCCUGGUAGUCCACGCAGUAAACGAUGAUGACUAACCGUCGGCGAUACACAGUCGGUGGCCAAGCGAAAGCGAUAAGGCAUCCACCUGGGGAGUACGACCGCAAGGUUGGAACUCAAAGGAAUUGACGGGG